UAAACCUUGAAAACGAAAUCAAAUCACUGCUUGUCAAUUUCAGCCGCCGUUUUGAAUCGCUACUGGCCGCCAUCAAUGUUUGUUCGGUGAAAGCAGGGCCUGUACCGCCUCGAGGCCAGGAAAAACGAUGCUCCCACUCGUUUUUUGUUGUCAUUGUGUUGCGUAAUGUGUUCUGAACAGUGGACCAUUGAAGCGGGUGAGGACAAUUGAAUUAUCUUUAUACGAGUUUCGCCGCAACUUGAAAGAUAAAUUCAUAAUCGACGCAUGUGCGCUGAACUUCAGCGCCGCACAUUUGCUCAUCGUUGUUCGUUGUGAAACAUGCGUAAUGUGGCUCGAAUGAUUUUUGCCAGUCAGGGAGAGAACUGAGAUCGUUCUGGGAAUGGUCAGGCAGUUACAAGCGAAGAUAAUGAACAGAAGCGCGCACGCUUUCAUCUCAGGAAACUAAAGGAGACAGACAUGCAAGGAACACUGCCUAACGUCACAUUUCCGGAAGGCAGCACGGUAUCAAUAUAACAUAGGAUGCCGGGUCAGAAACUAGAUCAAGCUUAACUGAAUAUUCAUUUGAGCAGCAGGCAGCCGUGCCGCCAGCCAUCUUCGUUUGAUGCAAAUUAGAGUACAAAAACAACUUUACCAGCUUCAAAUACACUCUGCGCCCAUUUAAAGCUUGUUGGCUAACGAAUAUGAGCUAUAACUGGAUGUAAGCCAAGUUGCUUACGGACGUCUAUUUCUCAAAGAAGGAAUGAAUGUGCGUAUGUACAUUAACACAGAUGCGAUGCCGAGGUUAUAUAACGAAGCGCUCUGCACUGUAGAGGGCGGUCGUUUCAACGGAUGUUCGAGUGCCGGAAGGGCUUUCGGAGAAGCUCAUAGACUUCGUGAACUCUCUCGUGAGGUCGAAUUAGCUCCGCGUCAGCACGAACUCAGCUCCUAGGCAGGCAGACAGGAUCAUUCAAGCCCUGCGCCAUGCUUCGGCCGUAUCAGAGAUUUCAACAGAGAUCCAAGUGUAGCCGUGUUACGACGAAUUUACACAAAAGAUUAGCUAACAGGGACGGAGACUCGGCGGGGCAGCCACAGUCACAAGACGAUAAGAAAAAACAAAAAUAUCUAUAUUUUUCCUGAAAUCGACACGUUAACGUCUAUGUGUAUACCUUUGAACACCGGUUAGCGCAGAUAACAACGUUUACGAACUCACGAAGUAUGAUAUAUUUCAAUUCACACUAGUUCGGGCUUGGCAGAGGGGCGAGAUCAAAAGAACGACACGGUGUUCUACCUGGUCAGCAAAAGUGUUCAAGGACUCUCCUACUGCCCUCGGCCAUUGGGGAGCCACUUGAACCAGUUGAUUCCGCUAAGUUGAGCCUCAACAAGCGCGCGGUUAUAUGCGGCCCGACGGAGCUCUCCUGAAGCAGUUGAUGAUAGCUAUCCUGUAAGCACGAAUGAUCUACCUAAUUUCGGUGGUGUUCAUGAUGGGAAAUGUCAACAGCUAAACUACUUUGGAUUCCCAGGGGCGAGCGCGUUUUUACUGCCACGAUCCCAUGUUGUAGGUUUGAGCGCAGUGGAUGACACACUCCACAGAUUGUCUGGUCAAGAUUUAUAAAAUUAUUGAUAACAGUAUGAUUUUACU